rnacentral:pre_miRNA from 1 species
CUUGUACUCCCUCCGUCCGAAAAUACUUGUCAUUGAAAUGGAUGUAUCUAGAUGUAUUUUAGUUCUAGACACAUCCAUUUUGAUGACAAGUAAUUCCGGACGGAGCGAGUACUUG